AUCUACUGUUGUCAUACAUAAAAAAAAGUGUGAAAAGUUGUUUCCCAUGAAAAUGAAAUUCGUAAUAAAUCUAUGUUUAGGUACAGAAAUCCUGACUACAGUACAAAUGCCAAUUUUUUUUAGGUAGAUAUUCAUAGUCCUGUCGCCAAGGGGGUACAACGGCCUCCUUUAUUUAGAUGGUCUUACCCAAGAUUUUUUUAUGUAUCUUGACCCGUAGAACACGAAUUUGUUGGGUAACAGUUGAUCCGGAUGUCGAUAAGAUUGUUAUAAACAAAGAACUUGAGGAAUUACAUAACAGCGAUUUCUCGCAAAACAAAACAUUUUUUUUUUGUAUUUUUUGGGUCAUUCUAAGCAAAAACUGUUCUGACAAGUUUUUUCGUAGGAUGCAUAGUUUUCGAGAUAAACGCGGUUGAACAUAAAAUCGAAAAAUUGCAAUUUUUGAACCCGAAAAAAUUUAUUUUUGCUAAAGGUGAUACAGUAGCGAUCAACAAGUAGCAAAAACGCGUUCCAAGAUUGCGGCUGUAAUUUUGAAUAUUUUUUCGAGAUAUUUGGCACACGUAUUCGUAAUAAAAUAAAGAAUGGCGGUACAGUGCCCAAUUUGAAAAAUAUAUUAAUAUGUGGAAAUUACUCUGUAAUUAAAUACAAUAUUAAAAAAACGAGCCUGUACCGCCAUUAAGAAGAACAAAAAAAUACAAUUUCUUCAAAUAAACUUUUUUAUCCGAUGCCUAGAUUUUGUGUAAUUUUGGAACUACUAAAAUUUUUUAUUUCAUUAGUAGUUCCAAAAUGACACAAAAUCUAGGCAUCGGAUAAAAAAAUUGAAGAAAGUGUAUUUUUAUAAAAAGUGCAGGGCUAACAAUGCCGAGGAAGAUCUAUCAGGCUGCAUCUCACUUCCCGCCUGUCCAGCACGGUAAAAUUCCAACAAAGCUUAGUUCCGAAUACUCAGAUUACGAGUAGAACUAAUCAAAAUAAUAAAUAAUCAUUCCAUGAAGUACGACUUAACCUGGUAGAUUUCCCUCGGCCUUCUUAGCUCCGGCAAUUCGUUGGCUUGCAAAUUUUAGAAGCCACAAGCCACGAUUGGUUUAACCAGAAGACUAGUUCUAAGUUUUAUUUUAUUUUUGAUAUUGUUAAUAUUAGAAGUAAAACUUUCGUUCGUCUUUAGCAGAUACCGCCACGGCAUUCAUGCCAUCAUUUCGUUGUGAACCGAUAACGGUAGCCCGAAUUUUAGUAGUUCAAAGAGAAUGAAAUAUGCACUUCUGAUGGGACCCUAAGAAGGGUUAAAGGGUGUUCUAGAGUGCCUUUGGCGCUCUAUGAACUAAAUAAAAUAAGACUGCUCUCGUUUCGCUUCACAAUGAAAUUAUUAUUUAUUAUUAUUUUUUCGUACAAAUACCUAUGUUAACAUAAAAUUUUCACCCAUUUGGGUUUAUUUUUAUAAAUAUUUAUUUACUAAUAACAAAAUUGUUUUCGGUUACUUCCAUUUAGCGCGCCUAUGAGUUAAAUUGUCAAUAAUAUUAAUCUUACAUAAUGUCAAAGAUUACCAAUGUUGCCAAAGUUUAUGAUACUAUCUCCCGAAGUUAUAUUUUAUUGCUACCUGUUGAUCGCUACUGUUUACUCUUAUGAAAAGUUGUUUAGAAUAAUUCAAAACUAUGUUUUAUUCAGUGUGCGUCUUGGAAGAGUGUUGCCAUCGUAUACGCUAAAAGCUGAUUGGCUCCGCCAUCUUUUGCUCAGAUUUCCGGAUUCAUUUGGAAGGGGUAAACAGAUGAUCAGUUGUUUAUUUUGGUUUUUAUUUUUCGUUUACUCUGGUUUAACCUCACUUAACUAGAUAGAUCGAGAAAUAUUAAAUUACUAUUACUAUUAUUCAGGUUGAAAAAUGCCUUCCUCUAAGGUAAAAGGUUGCGAAGUCGAUUGGGGGGAAAAAUAAUGUGAAAAUGAAUUCUUUCCCAAAAGAAUCUGAACGACGGAAAGUGUGGAUUAAAAAUAUAGGGUUAAAACAAGAUCCAAACAAAUAUGCUGUUGUUUGUGAAGAACACUACUUCUGACAUGUGGAAAAAAGUUAGACAAGAUGGCAGCAGAAAAUUAAAAUGCAAUGCUGUACCAACAAUAUUUAGAGAAGAAAGCGAAAGUAUUUAAUUAUUUAUAUUGGUUUUUUGUUUAUUCACCAAUUUAACACCUAUAGAUAUUUGUAUAACAAGAGAGCGAAGUGCACCUUUUCCUCCCAAGAAUAAAGUUUACUAGUUUACUACAGUAAUCAUUCAAGGGAGGAAAAGGCACUUCUCCCAUGUUAUACAUUUUUCCACCUCCCUCAAAUAAGUCAUUUUUUCAUUUUUUAAAUAUUUAUAUAACUGUUGAUUGAAUACAUGAAUCAUAAUUGAAUACAGGAAUUUGUGUAUUCAAUCAACAAUAGAAGUAACAAAAUUUAUUAGAGAACUAAAACUAACAAUUAAGUACAGUAUAACUAUCAAAUUAUUAAUGAGAAAUUUUUAAAUCAAAAUAACAAUUUACUGUUUUUACCAUUUUGCAACAUCUAUAAAUAAAAUUUAAAAUGUAUGGAUACUUACCUAAUAGAAAAUAGAGUAAUAGUAUAGGGUGUCAAUAAGUUAUUUCAUCUAUGCUAUGACAUAGUAUGAUGUCAACAUCACUUUUACUUUUACUCCCUAGGGAUUAAAAGUACUUUGUUUCCCUAGGGAGAAAAAAAUAUGACUGCUCCCUACAAUGAGGCCAGGAAAUGUAUACUUUGGAUAGAGGUAGGUGGGAAAAUCUGUUUUAUUCAGUUAUUGUGAUUUGUUUCUUACAGACAAUCGGUUUGUUCUAGCACGAGUUUCAAACGGUCUGAAACCAUUAGCGAAUAGUGGACCAGCGCGAGUAGAGGGGAUAGCACUCGUAACUGUAUUAUGUUCUCUCACUGACCAACUGUUUGCUGACUAGUUCGACUGUUUGCUAGAACAAACCUAUUAUUCAAACAAAAUGUCCUCUACGUCAGACUGAUCAGAAUUUUAAAAAUGUGUCAUAUCAAUCAAAUCAAAAAAUUUCAAAAAUUGUUCCUGUAACCAUUUUUAGUGGAAAUAAUAACAGUACUUAUAUUGGAUCAGAGAGCCACCCAAUUCAUUGUUAAAGUAUGAUAAACUAAAAGUUAAACAAUUAGGCAUGCACUUCAUAUUAUAUUUAAUGAAAUAUAACCCACUGGUACUCGUACAAACUUGACGGCAAGCAAAUUCAACAAAUUUUUCCUCAUUUAUUAGUUUUUCACUACCGUUAAGUUUGGAAACAAGCGCUGUUGCCAAAUAAAAACAUAUACAGUCGGAAAAAUGAAAGAAUACCCAUGAACGAUCACAUCAAUCACAUAUUUUGUAUUUGCUGUUUUUUUUUCAUAAAUAAUAAAUGAGAGAGAUAGAUUAUUAAUAAUCUGAAUAUGUGAUUGAUGUGAUCGUUCAUGGGUAUUCUUUCAUUUUUUCGACGGUAUGUAUUUACCACAGCAACUACAGGUGACACUGUUUCUCUUUGUCUUUAAGAGUGUGAAACAAAGAUAACUACAGUGGGAAAAAUAAAGAAUACCCAUGAACGAUCACUUAUUUUGUUUCCUAUCUUUUUCUAUAACAAACGUUUAUUAUUUAUAGAAAAAGACAACAAACAUAAAUUAAGUGAUUGAUGUGAUCGUUCAUGGGUAUUCUUUCAUUUUUCCAACUGUAUCUGUAAUAUACGCUGUUAAUUAAAAAAUCGCGAGAGCCAGUAGUGACAAGUCUGUAAACCUUUACUGGAAAUUUGACAUAAAUGUCAAAGUGAAUAAUUUAAAAUUGAAAUUAAAAACAUUAAUCAGAAAAAAUAUUAGUUGGUCAAAGCUGUGGUAUAUAUUUUUAUCUUAAGUAUACUUACGGUUUAAAUACUGAAUUAAGUUUUUUUAAAAUUUUGUAAUAUCUAAUUAUAAUUAGAUAUAAAUCAUCUAAGUGCCAUCUACACGAUAAUUGUGAAUGUAUCUGAAGUAAGAAAUUAAUAUUUCAUUAAGAGAACGUUAAAACAGUUAGCAAAAUUUUUAAAAAAUCGAUUACAAUUUAAUUACUUUUUUGCGUUGUAAAUAUUAAGCGAUAAAAUUAAAUAAUAAAUUUAAAAAUUACUGGUGAAAGUUGAAUUAGUAAUCCGCUAGGAGCGACACCAGCGAAGCUCAGAGCGUAUAAGUGGGUGUGUUUGGACGACCAUAGCGGCUGACUGUCAGCAGAAAUCGGCUGAGUGGUUGUAUCCAGCUGUGAUAGGGAAAGCUUAGUAAAUCUCUCAGCGGCUGACUUCCAGCGGUGACGUCUGACAGCUACUGCUGGCUCAGCUGUCCAGCCGCUGUGGUCAUCCGAACGCACCCAGUGUCAGUCAUGUUUUCCUAUAGUAUAGAAGGCUUAGAUAGAAGGUUAUGUAAGAUUUUUGUUUGUUUAUUUUUUCUUCUUUUGUGGCCUUUGGAAGCUGUGCGCAUUUAGCCAGCGACAUUUCUUAAAAUGAAUGCCUAACUAAACCUACCAUACAAGAAAACCUAAACGACCAAUCAAGGAUACGGAAGGGAAAGUAAAGUUAUUUAAAAAAUAAACUGUUGUUAAAAUAUAAACUAAAUAAAUAAAAUAUAAAUUGAAAACAAUAAUUUGACAUUAUAAAUGUAACCUCCAAUAUUAUGACAGACGUCAGUUACUAUGACAUCAUAUAUUAUACUCGUCACUAAUUCUAGCCAAUGAAAUGCUUGCUGUAAUAGGAAUGGCAUAUCAAAAAAAUCUGACUAUUCUCUAUAUAUUUUUUCAAAUUUAGAAUAUGGCAACAAGGGGAAAGUUAUGUGCAUUCCUCAUUGUUUGACUUUUCCUAUAUCUUUAGUAUCAGGUCAUCGUACAAUACAAAUACUUCCUGCAAUGAUUGGAAGUAAUGCAGAACAAGAAUUGAAUUUGGAAUCGCCGAGAAAAAGGAUUGGUGUACAAAAUAAGAAAGUAUAUAAAGGACAACAAACAUCUUCCAUAAGCGAUCAAAAUUGUAUAACUGAAAUUCAGGAAAUAGAUUCUGCUCCACCUUUAG
rnacentral:lncRNA from 1 species